AUGCUGUAUGAUCACACUGUUAGGGCAAGAGGGGUAACGAACAGCACGGUUUGCAAUAUUGAAUUGAUUGCUUCAGGGAACAGAUCUGUGUUAGAGAUAACUGGCAGCGCACAAAGCCAUUUCCUACCUGCGCCUAUGGAGCGGCUGCUCAGGCUUUGCUGGCAGGAAAAAGCAAAAGGAGCUUCUGUGAAGCUGAAGUGGCUGAGCCCAUCCGGGCUGAAGGGCUCUUAUCUCACAUUUCUGAGUUGGUAUUCAGAGAGUGUCAGCCAACCUGGAGCAUUAUCCUGGUCUUCAGCAACGUGGUGUUUGGAUUGGCCUUCCAGCAGUGCUGCCAAUUGGGGCACUGCUAUCCUCCUCAGCUGCUACAUGGCAAUGAAGACAUGGGGAUCUGGAUCUUCAGAGUGGAAGAUGAGUUUCAUUGCUGUGGGUCUGGCUGUCAUGCAGACUGCCCGGACCUUGUGGACUGCCUAUGCUGGGGCACAGGAAAGUUUCACUCUGGCUGGAUGCUGCUGUGGAACUGCUAUUGAGAUGGGCAAACUCUGCUUAGUUCCAGUGAGCUUCCAGAGUAAGACAUACUUCAGAGAAGGCAGAUUUUCCUUCCUGAUGAAAUUCCAAGAGUGCAAAGAGAACUGAACAGAAGAUAGCCAGAAAGAGCCUUGUGGAAGCUCAGAAGGAAGGCAUCUUAUCAGGUGAUCUUGCACCUGGGCAAGGAUGAAGGACCAUGUGAUGGACAGGUUAGCCAGGGCACAAAAAAUAGAUUGGAGUGCCUAUCUGUGGCUGUAGAC
rnacentral:lncRNA from 1 species